rnacentral:rRNA from 1 species
UUUGAGAGUUUGAUCCUGGCUCAGGAUGAACGCUGGCGGCGUGGAUAAGGCAUGCAAGUCGUGCGAUCUGCCUUUUGGCAGAGAGCGGCAAACGAGUUAGUAACACCCUGAUACGUACCCCAAAGUCGGGCAUAAUCCCGCGAAAGCGGGUCUAAUUCCCGAUAGUCCUACAUCUUUUUGAUGUUGGUAAAGGUUUUCCGCUUUGGGAGCGGUCUAGGUCCUAUCAGCUUGUUGGCGGGGUAAUGGCCCACCAAGGCGACGACGGGUAGGAGGCGUGAGAGCGUGGCCUUCAACGACGAGACUGAGACACGGCUCGUACACCUACGGGUGGCAGCAGUCGAUAAUAUUCGACAAUGGGCGAAAGCCUGAUCGAGCGACGCCGCGUGCAGGAAGAAGGGCUUCGGUCUGUAAACUGCUUUUACGUGGGAAGAAUCCCUCACUUGGCUUUUUGAAUAUUUUUAAUUUCAAAGAUCCAAGCGAGGGAUGACGGUACCACGAGAAUAAGGGGCUCCUAACUUCGUGCCAGCAGGAGCGGUAAUACGAAGGCCCCAAGCGUUAUCCGGAGUUACUGGGCGUAAAGAGCGAGCAGCCGGUCCUGAUAGUCCGAUGUUAAAUCUCAUGGCUUAACCGUGAGGCCGCAUUGGAAACGUCAGUUUGCUUCUCACUUUCGUUCGGAACUUAUAAUUAUAAGUAAUGAGCGGGAGCGAGAGGCGUAGGACUGGAGCAAGUCAGAGGCAAGCGGAACGUGUGGUGUAGGGGUGAAAUCCGUUGAUAUCACACGGAACACCAAAAGCGAAGGCAGCUUGCUAGGGCUUUGCUGACGGUCAUUCGCGAAAGCGUGGGGAUAGAAAAGGAUUAGAUACCCUUGUAUUCCACGCCCUAAACGUUGCAGACUAGCUAUCGGGGGCAUCGACCCUCCCGGUGGCGUAGCUAACGCGUUAAGUCUGCCGCCUGGGAAGUACGAUCGCAAGGUUAAAACUCAAAGGAAUAGGCGGGAGAUUGCACAAGCGGUGGAUCAUGUGGUUUAAUUCGAUUAUAAGCGGAAAACCUCACCAGGGCUUGAAACGCUAGCGAAAGCCUGAAGAAACUCAGGCCCCCGCAAGGCGCUAGCGCAGGUGGUGCACGGUUGUCGUCAGCUCGUCAGGUGACUGGUUUCCUUAAGUGGAUUAACGAGCGCAACCCUCGUCGUCUGUUACAAGUGUCAGGCGAGACUGCCGUGGUUGACACGGAGGAAGGAGAGGAUGACGUCAAAUCAGCGUGCCCCUUUGAUGCCCUGGGCUACACACAUGAUACAAUGGACACUACAAUGGGUUGCCAAGCCGCGAGGCGGAGCUAAUCCCAUCAAAAGUGUCCCCAGUUCGGAUUGGAGGCUGCAACUUGCCUCUAUGAAGCCGGAAUCGCUAGUAAUCGCGGAUCAGCACGCCGCGGUGAAUACGUUCUCAAUCUUUGCACUCACUGCCCGUCACAUCAAGGGAGCCGGGAAUACCCGAAGGCCCGUGUUAUUACGUGGGACUACGGUAGGUUCGGUAACAAGGAUGAAGUCGUAACAAGGCACGGCUAGCGGAAGCUGGUCGUGGAUCACCUUCUUUCUAA